UAAAAACUGAGCUUGGCCAUCUCCAAAAGGAAUUUUCUGAUAGAAAGGACUCAUAUGAAAAGCUCCACCAAGAAAAAGAGAAACUACAAACUGAUCUUGACCAUCUCAAAAAGGAAUUUUCUGAUAGAAAGGACUCAUAUGAAAAGCUCCACCAAGAAAAUGAGAAACUAAAAACUGAGCUUGGCCAUCUCCAAAAGGAAUUUUCUGAUAGAAAGGACUCAUAUGAAAAGCUCCACCAAGAAAAAGAGAAACUACAAACUGAGCUUGACCAUCUCAAAAAGGAAUUUUCUGAUAGAAAGGACUCAUAUGAAAAGCUCCACCAAGAAAAAG